GAUGAACGCUAGCGGGAGGCCUAACACAUGCAAGCCGAGCGGUAUUUGUUCUUCGGAACAGAGAGAGCGGCGCACGGGUGCGGAACACGUGUGCAACCUGCCUUUAUCUGGGGGAUAGCCUUUCGAAAGGAAGAUUAAUACCCCAUAAUAUAUUGAGUGGCAUCAUUUGAUAUUGAAAACUCCGGUGGAUAGAGAUGGGCACGCGCAAGAUUAGAUAGUUGGUGAGGUAACGGCUCACCAAGACAAUGAUCUUUAGGGGGCCUGAGAGGGUGAUCCCCCACACUGGUACUGCGACACGGACCAGACUCCUACGGGAGGCAGCAGUGAGGAAUAUUAGACAAUGGGUUAGCGCCUGAUCCAGCCAUCCCGCGUGAAGGACGACGGCCCUAUGGGUUGUAAACUUCUUUUGUAUAGGGAUAAACCUACUCUCGUGAGAGUAGCUGAAGGUACUAUACGAAUAAGCACCGGCUAACUCCGUG
rnacentral:rRNA from 1 species